UGAUAUAGAUGCAAUUCAGAUACCAAUGGCCAGGGCUGAGUCAGAUGACCUGUCUAGCUUAGCUGGUGUCCCCUUACUCCCUCAUUGUUCAUGUGCAUUUCUCCCAAAGCUGUGAAGACCUUCCCUGAACAGAUGGGUCAGUCUUCGGUUGAGGAUAUACAAGUAGCUGUGUUCCCCUUCUAGGACCUCCAAACAAGAUCGUCUGAAAGCCCUACAUGGAUCAAGAGGCCAGCAUGAUAACUAAGGAGGUUGUUGUCCCACCAGCUUUAACCAAACACCCUAAAUGGGUUUUAACUUCAAUCUAUCCUUUUUA
rnacentral:snRNA from 1 species